GGAGAGGGAGAAAGGCUCAACCCUGAAGUGCCCCUGCCAAUCAUACCCCAGCAGAGGCAGGGCUUCACUUCUCAUUGUGGGACCCAGGUGCAGUCCUCCCCUGCUUGAAUCUCCAUCCUGCCCCCACCAGGGGGUGCUGUAGAAGAAGCUCUCAUGCCCCUUUCAGCUCUGAUCUGCUCACCACCCAGUCUUUGGUCCCAGUUGCUGUACUAUGUGGGCCUGUGGCCGCAACAUGCCCCCCACCUUUCCCUUCCCCCUGACGUCUAGCCUGUGCUCGCCAUCUCCCUCCCCCCCUCCCUCCCUCCCUCCUCCCCCCUCCCCCUCCCCCUCCCUCCCCAUUUCCUUCCCAUUCCCUGACCCUUGCAGGUGCCCGACUGCUGCCCCGGCUUCUUUGGGAUACUAUGCGAGCCAUGCCCAGGGGGUCUGGGUGGUGUGUGCUCAGGCCACGGGCAGUGCCAGGACAGGCUCCUGGGCAGUGGGGAGUGCCGCUGUCACGAGGGCUUCCACGGAACCGCCUGCGAGAUGUGCGAGCUGGGCCGCUAUGGGCCCUCCUGCGCUGGAGUGUGUGACUGUGCCCACGGGAUGUGCCAGGAGGGGCUGCAAGGAGAUGGAAGCUGUGUCUGUAACGUGGGCUGGCAAGGCCUCCGCUGCGACCAGAGUAAGUGGGUCCCCAAGGGGUAUAGGGACAUUGGAAAGGCAGUUCCUGUC
rnacentral:lncRNA from 1 species